rnacentral:lncRNA from 1 species
UUGAGGAGCACGUGUUUGAAAAAUCACAUGAAGAUGCGUAUUGUUCCUCGACCGUAGCUGAGGAGCAUGCAAGCUGAAGAAUCGCAUGGAGACACGUAGCACUUCUCGAUCGGGGUCGAAGAGCACGCGAGCUGGAGAACUCAAAAGAGAUGUGUACUACUCCUCGACCAUAGCCGAAGAGUACGCUAGCCGGAGAACCGCAUGAAGAUACAUACCGCUCUUUGAUCGUGGCCAAAGAGCGUGCGUGCCG